UAUUAUUUAGUUUAUUAAAAUAUUGACUUGUCAAGUCAAAGAUACUACACUGGUAAUAAUAU
rnacentral:tRNA from 1 species